rnacentral:lncRNA from 1 species
AAAACCCGGAAGAGCCUAACCCUUCUUCCUCUCCAUCAUCAGAUUCUACAUCGGUAGAGGCUGCUGCAUCAUCGGAAACUUCUUCGUCGUCGUCUUCGCUAGGAUCUUCCUCCACGACGACUUCCUUCUUCUGCUUCUUCAGCGGAGGUGUCUUCUGGGACUUGGCUCCUCCCUUCUUCAACGCCAGAGCUUGGGGCUUCUCCGCCUUCCUCUUCAACGCCAGGGCUUGGGGCUUCUCCGCUCUCUUCAACGGAGGGGUUUGAGAUUUCGCCACCCUCUUCUUGCUACGAGUGAGAACCAUCGCACAAAAAUUAGGGUUUGGGUUUUUCUCGCGGCGAGGGUUUAACACACAGGUAGGUGAUGAAUUUUGGAGUAGCAGCAACUAGCACCCCAUAUAUUGUUUUUGUGUUUACGGCAUAUAUUAAUGGGCCUUGAUCCAGAUAAUAUUAGGCCCAAUUGUAAUAAUGUUAGCUCGGAGGUUGGGGUUUGGAGUUGCCAAGGCUGUGCAUUACUCUGGUCAUGGACCACCGUUGGGGUUGUGUUCAAGUUCAACUACUACAUCUUCAGGAUUUUUAAAAGUUGGUGGCCAAAAGGAUUAAUGUUGAUAAUAUGGUUAAGCUAUGCAGGCAAUGUAAAGCACUAGAUUUGAUUUCAUGUUCUAUUAGAUUUAAUUAUGUACUUCGUAUGUUUAAGUACAACAGCUAACAAAGCAGAGCUUUCAUUCCAAGUUUCCAACUAUAUAACCAAAAGUGGAACAACCAAAUAGAAAAAAACUGGAUCACGAGAACAAGACUCAAAAGACAUCAUUCAAGUGAUAAACUCGUGUUUAAGAUAUAAAAUUGUAAACAAGGGUCUCUUGAGAACUUUUUUGUUUUUGUUUCUCAACUGAAGAUGGAAGCAAAACUCUAAUUAACUAACAUCGCAUCGCAUACCCGUCGUCUUCAGUUGAAAAGUCCAGGGUUUAACCAGUCCCUGCCAUUAAAGUGAAAUAUAUGUGAGAUGUUAACAUCGUGUACACAAAAGGUUGUAGCUUUUUCUUUCCUCGGUUUGUGUAUCUAACUUACUUGGUGAUAUCAUCCAGAUGAUCAUCAACAUCAGUGACGUCCUUCCAUUUCUCAGAUGAAAUGUAAUCUGACAAAACUACAUUGGCCGAAGGCUCUUUCAAGAGUAGCUUGCUUCCUCCAUCUGUUCCAACCACUCUCCAGUUCUUGGAUCCGUCUUUCACACAAAGCUAGCAUGUAAUAUAUGGACAAAAGUAUUACUACAAAUUGAAAAAGUGACCUAGUAACUGCAGCAAAAGUAAAUUCCAUCAAGCAGAAGGUAGCAAAAGAAAAGGGACAACACGAGUUUGAUGUCAAGAAGGUUGCUAGCUCAAUUCAAGUAGAUAGUCUGGAUAUGUUAGUCAACUAGUAUCGUCAUUUUUUAUAUCUUAACGUUGACAGUAUAGGUUUAGGAUGCAGUCAAACUAAAAAUCAAUGCAACGAUGAGAUGAGAGCCGGACUACCAAUAAGUUGUUAGCAAAUACUUAAAAAUCGACCUUCUCAGUUUUUCAAUAUUCUAUUUCUCUCUUAAGCUAAUGGUAAUAAGUCUAUCGACAGUGUAUUUUUAAAUACCAACCUGCAUCACAGGGCUUCGAUCUUUACCCUUUGAUAAGGCUUCAAGCUUUUUGUUGUUCAACUACAAAACAGCAUAAUAAAAUGGCUACUUUAGUUAGUGAUUCAAUCAGAAACUGCUGCAGUUAGAAUGUAAAGGGACAAGAAAUUCACCAAGAGAAUAGGUGCAGGAGGGAAAUAGCGAGAGAUGUGAUCACCAAUGUUCUUAGCCACACCACAGAGCUCUACAUCAUCGAACCUCUCGUUGGCGUGAAAGUAGCCAACAAUACUCAAACCUUGAGCCACGUAAUGCUCCUCUAUCUAAAACACAUCCCAAACAGCAAACAUAUACACAUCUCUCAAACACAGAUACAGAAACAGUGUUGUGCUUCUCGUUAAACCCAAACAAUCCAAGAUCUAAAACUUUUCUAUGUUAAAAUAGAAACAAGACUGACAAUCCAAGUAACAGACAUAACAGCAAGAGUGAAACUAAUAAUAACAAAUGCAGCUACUGUUUCAUUUAGUAAUUAGAUAUCCAAACUCAAUUUUUUUUUUCACUAGUUCAAUUGCAAAGCCGAUUCAAAUCAUAAGAAGAAGAUGGUGACCAUGAUGAGGGAGAUCUCGAGAGGAGGAAGGAGGGCGAGGUUAGAGUGAAAGAGCGGCACUGAAUCGGAGAUCUCCACGACUCCUUCGUCCUUAGGGCUGAUUCGACCGACGAGGACUCCGUUGACCGCCGCCGUCUUGUGACGCAGCGAGUGGAGAACGAGUUUGAUGUAAGCGUUCUGUGAGAUCUCAUACUUCAAUUCCCCGUUACUUCCCAUAGUUAACUCGAUCCCAGACUCAGUCCUUCAAAUCCCACUCGCGGCGAUUGGAUUACUGGAAGAGACCACGUUCUGAGAUCAACUUCGUUUGUUAGCGAUAGUGGAACUUGAUCGGAUCCGCACAAAACCGGGUCUGGGUCCCCUCGAACCGGAUUUACCCAACUUUCUUAAAUUUUCAAUUAAGUUUUUUAAAAUGAUAGAAAAGGUCAGAAAGUUUAUUUCAAUAAGAUUACUGAGUUAGGGAACUUUCAAAAUAAGCACCCUCUAUUUCAUUAUUGUGAACAUAUACCCCCCAAUCAAAUCUUCAUAUUUUGAUCUGUAUUUGAUUAUUUACUAUAAUUCAAUUAGAUAGCAAAAUUAAUAUGCUGGAACUUCAAAUCGAAUUUUACAAGCUAAACCCUGAACUUCUAAAAAAGGAACAUAAUCUAUACGAUAUUUGCAGUUGUCGUCUUCGAGAGAUCUAGCUCAACAGAAAGUAGGGCUACUCCGCUCUCUCCUCCCACGUCGUCACUGUCGGCUUUAGGUUUCGAAACGGCUGUGUUUUGCUUCGGAAGCAGCUUGCUCGAGCUGUAGUCGAUUGAUUUCCCCGGAAGAUUUAGCCACGUGUAUACAGACAUGCCGGCAAGAGCUGCAACAGCGCCGCAAAUGCUUAUGAAUCCGGGGUCAGAGCCAAAGAUAACGUAGCCUCCAAGCAAGAUAACACAUGUCUUGAAUUGCCCUAAUACUACAUGGGACGUUGCCGAGGUUGCCCUGUUACAAAUAAAACCAACUUAGCUACAAGAGGACUAGAGAGGUAGAGGCAUAUAAACUUAAUUUAGCUAAACCAAAGUUUUAUAAACCGGAACAUAAUUGAUGUUUUAGCACCGGUUCACAACUUUUAGGCUCAUCCCUUCCGGUUUAGGUAAGGACUAUGAACCGGUUUAGGUUCAUUAGGUUUUUGUGCUCUGUUCAUAAAUGAUGAUGACGGCAAAAUGAAGCACAGGCAAACUAUUAAACUCAAGUUUAUCUUUAUAGCUAAGCAACGAACAAAAGACUAACCCGAGAGCGAGUGCACCAGACCACUGGAGAAGAAAGCCAAGAAGGGCCGAGACGAGGAUCGCAGAAGAGUUACCCCAAUCCCAUUUGAACAGCAAAACUCCAGGUGGGUCAAGCCAUGGCAUGAGAGCCAAUAAGAAGAAGACUGUAAACGGCGUCGUCUUCCACAUCAAUCUACGUACAUUCAACAAAAAAAAAAGUGUAUUUAUCUUUUAAGACACUUACACCUCAAGUAAAGCAAAAGGGGAGAGAUUCUUACGCUAAGGCAGUCCAGUUAGCUUGUUGUUGAAGAUUAGACCAGAGGAUCUUAUUGAUGGCACUUGGGAUAAUCCAAGCAACAGCAACCAAUGCACCGAACAAAUUGAAUUCUAGAUCGGUUACUGUCGCGAUGGCCACGCCUAGAGACACUACAGCUAAUGCCAUAACCUGUGAGAGAGAAAACAGAGUAAGCACCCAAAAGAAAACCAUGUAAUGACAUCAUAAAAGUUCAAGCGAAAACCUUUGUGGAAGAAAUGGUUUUCUUGAAGAGAACAAACUCUGCAAGGACAAUGGUUGGUGUCACAGCGAUCUUAGCCAUCUGGUAGAAUCCAACACUGGACGGACAAAAACAAAAGCUUUCAAGUAUCAGAUAAAGGGAGAAAACAGAGCUUUAGAUCAAUCAAAAGAUCAAGUCUUGAGGAAUGAACCUGUUGUGUUUGAGGCUGGUAUUGGCGAGACCAGAAGCAAAGGCCAUGACAGCUCCAAGAGAGAAAAGAGAGGAGAAAGGUGUGGUCUUUGAUGGAGGAGACAUAGGAAGCAACGAGAGAGAUUUGAAGAAAGCUAGAAGAAUCCAAGCAACCGCAUAGUGAAUGAGCGUUAGAAAGAUUGGAAAAUUGAAUCCAACUCUUCCCAUCACCUGCAAAAACAAGUUUAAUAACAGAGAGAGAGACAAAGAAGAAUUUCAGAUUCAAAGAAGUGAGCUUUACAAGCUUAUUGGCGAGGAUGAUUCCAACAGCAACAACGAAAUUAAAAGACAUGGCAACAACAGGGCCGCAGAAUCUCUGUUGUUGUCGUUUAGCUCCUUCUGAUGUUUUGAGCUCAUUGUAUAAAGAGCUUCUGAGUUCUUCCAGAGCUCGUCCUACAAAGAGAAUAUAUAAACAGAUCCAAAAGGUGAUUCAUUUUCUUGAGAAGCAAUUCAUCUAACAGGUGAUCAACAUUAAAUUCUCAGAUCAUUUAAUGUGAGGAGGAUAAAGCAUCAUUUUUUCAAUCUCUGAAUUUCAGAAAAAAUGUAAAAUAAAAAGAAAGCAAAUAAAAAAUGGAAGAUGAUGAUGAUGAGUGAUUCACCUGCUUCUGCAGCAUCACUGUCUUUCCUUUUGAGAAAUUUCCUUGCAUCUUUUCCAAACAAGGAAUCAACCAGACCCAUCACACGCAAAUAUAAAAAAAAAUGAUAACUUUUUAACAAUCCUCUGGGGAUCGAUGAAUCAAUCUCCGAUUAUUUCAAUCCUUCUUAUGAGAAACCCAGAUCACAUUUUCCAUUUUUUGAUUGCAGAAAAUGAAAAAGAUAUAGCAGUUGCUUCAAUACGCAGUUUCAUUUAGCGUAUCUUUCUAAUUUUUUGAAAAAUUAUUUCAUCUUUUGGAUUCAAUGUGAUUGGUAUGAUUGUGUUCGGCUGAGGCAAGCGCCCUUAUAGAGAGAGAGAAAGAUGGAGAGAGAGAUAGCAGUUGCUUCAAUACGCAGUUUCAUUUAGCGUAUCUUUCUAAUUUUUUGAAAAAUUAUUUCAUCUCGAAAACUAAGAAAAAUAAGGGAAUUUUCAGGGACGUUUGUUUCCCUUUUCGAGAAAUUUGUUCGGAUUUGGUACUACUUAUUCGGAUUGGGAUUUGUACGGUUAUUCGAAUUAGAGUUUUUUGCUCAAAUCUAAAUAAUGACAUAAAAAAUAAUUAGCAUCAUAUUUUUUGAAAAAUACAUCCGCGCUGGUGCGCGGAUCAAAAUCUAGUUUUAUUAUGAUUACUUUGGCAUGUAUUCAUUUUCGCAUUAGACUUGUAACAAAGGAAAAAUAUUUAAAUAUUUUUUGUGGAGAAAGUGAUUCUUUCAAAUAAAAAGAUAAAACUUGUUUUUCUUAAUUAAAAUUUCAUGAAGUAUAACGAUAAAGAAAAAUAAAGGGCACAAAGAAUGCAAAGAGACACAAUUUGUGCAAGAUGUGGAGCAUCUACGAAGUCCAUCAUCCAUGUAUUUUUUGAGUGUUCACUAACGGUACAUGUUUGGGUUUUUUUUUGGAGUUUAACUCGGGGUUUCAAGAUUUUUUUUUGGUUUUUGGGAUUUAAACCCGAACCCGUUAUUAUCCGAAUUUAUCCAAAAAAUGUCAGAUUCCUAAACGUUUCCUAGAUACCUCAACCCGAAUAAUCCAAAAAAACCGAAUAAAUCGAACUGACCAAAACAAAAAACCUGAAUUCCCAUCAUUUAUCCAUGUUACAAUCAUUAAGUAAACUAACAACGAGAAACUAGAUAUUGGAAGAAGAAUUAAGGGAGGAAAGAAGACUCAUGAAAUCGUAGCUUCAUAAUCAAACAACACGCUUGUGAAGAGAGGCUGUUCUGAUGUUCCCUUCACAGAGACUGGUGUGUACGAUUUCGGUUUGUAGAUCUGUCGGCAAUUAACCAUCACGGCAAGCGACGAGACCCACUUUCGAAAGAGUCCCGCGGCCACCGACACCGAUUCCUAAUGGAAUAUUUGACUAUCAAGUUUUAGCUUCCGUCAACAAGGACCGCCGACUUAUGUUCACAAAAACCUAUAUAUACAUGCACAUUCCUUCAAAUCUGCCGGUUAAAAGGAAUUUCACUUUGGAGAAGAGUAGACGAGGGGAACCGCCAUCCCCAUAAAAUGUUCGGCUGCCGCAAGAAACCUCUAAAUCAUGGUGCAGACUUCUAAGCACUGACUGGUUGACUUGGGAAUGCUCAAGAAGCUAACCUCUCUUCCAUCAUAGUUACAGACUAUGGUAUUUGUGACGCCCAUGCGGUGCAGAUUGGCAGUCAACGACUUGAGCCUAGGUACUUUCAUCUCGUUCGCAAAUAUCAAGCCUGGUUACAGCAUUAUUAUAGCUUUACUUAAAACCAAAAUUAAUCAUUAUAAACAGUGUUUAAUCAGCCUGAAUCUGGGGAAUGGGGGGUAAGAAGCACAAGAAAUCAAUGAUUUACCAGUAUUUUUCAUUAGAGCAGCAACGUACGUAGUUUUACCACCAGGAGCAGCACUGCAACAUAAAAAAAAAUGAAGCAUUCACACAAUAAGCGCGAGAACAAAACUCAGAUUCGUCCACAAUCUAAUAGGUGACAGUAACUUACGCUACAUCCACAAUACGCUCAUUCUCUUGAGGGGCAAGGGCCAUCACUGGCAAAAACGAACUAGCACCUUGAAGCUACAAUUUCAACCAAGUACAGACUUACGCAAACAAUUUACAUUAACCAUUAAUGGUGAACAGAGAAGAGAACAGAAGAUCACUAACCAUGUAGAAUCCAGACAAAUACUCAGGGGUUGCACCGAUUGGCACUUGUGAAUCAUAAACAACAAGUCCGACCUGCAAUUAUUAUCACAUAUUAACGAUGGAACAUUACUAAAACAGGGUUAUGGAUGGGUCCAGAUCGAAUUACUUUUGACCACUUGCUUAGUGGGUCAAGAUUGACUCCUCUGUUCAGAAGCACAUCAGCAAGAUCCCUUCUUCGAGUCUAAAACAAAACAAUCAUUUCGAUCGAACAAUAGAGCUCAAAAGUCAUAAGCUAUAACCAAGCAACACACAAACCAAGUUCACCUUAAGUGUGUUUGUCCGGAUAGAUGUAGGCCUUUGCUUUUCAAAGGCUUCAACUAAUUCCAUAAGUUCAACAGGAGGAAACAGCUGCAAGCAAGAGAGAUAUCCCAACAAAAUAUCCAUAAGUGAAGAGUACUGGGAACAAACAUCAAAUGAAAGAGAUGAGAGAGACUAGAAAGAGAGUAACCUCAAACAAAGCUCCAAUAAGAAAACUGUUGUAGCCAUAAUAAGAAGCAAUAUCAGAUUUGAGCUGUUCAACACAAUCUUUCCUGCUGGCUCCAUUUGGCCUCAAGACGCUAAAGUUUGACAGAGCUCUAACAACUGAAAAACAUAAAAAAAAAAAUCAAAACUUUGCAACACCAUUCAACAGCAACAAAGAAACAAACUUUGGAAAGUUACUCACUCUCUUUAAUUCUACUUUGAAGUAGAGGUAGAUCUGGUGGCCCACGAGCCUCUUCUUCAAGUUCCUAAACAAUGAAAGACAGGUUCUGUUAGAUAUUGCCUCAUUCCCACAACUAGUGUUGUAAUCAAACACAGAGCAUUAAACCUCUUCAGUUGGUAACCGAAACGCAUCGUCUCCAGCUUCCUUGUUGAAAUCAAGGAGCUCAGCCUUAGCGUCUUCCUCCUCCUUUGCUUCUUCCUCAUCAAUAAGUUUAGACUCCUUCUCAAUAUCGCCUUCGUCGGAGUCAGAAUCCGAACCCGAACCCGAAUCCGAAUGCUCCUCUUCAUCGCCGCUACCUUCCAGAAAGUCAUCACCCAAGAGCUCCUCACCGUCGUCGUCGUUCUCUUCUCCAUCGUCAUCGGAGAAAAACCCGGAAGAGCCUAACCCUUCUUCCUCUCCAUCAUCAGAUUCUACAUCGGUAGAGGCUGCUGCAUCAUCGGAAACUUCUUCGUCGUCGUCUUCGCUAGGAUCUUCCUCCACGACGACUUCCUUCUUCUGCUUCUUCAGCGGAGGUGUCUUCUGGGACUUGGCUCCUCCCUUCUUCAACGCCAGAGCUUGGGGCUUCUCCGCCUUCCUCUUCAACGCCAGGGCUUGGGGCUUCUCCGCUCUCUUCAACGGAGGGGUUUGAGAUUUCGCCACCCUCUUCUUGCUACGAGUG